ensembl:lncRNA
CACAGACUCAUAUCACCUUAUACAACCACAGACACACUCAGCCACACUCACAGGCAGGAGUCAGGGAAAUACUUUUUCAGAUCUGAAGGACAACAUUUUAAAUACCACAUCCAAAGGAAAGUUUUGUAAAACGACUUCCUGCCUCCUGCAACUCAGAAGAGUCCCCACAAGCAUUCUCCUUGCUGUCUCAGGGUUAUAUCACAAACUUCCAUUCAUACCAGACCAGAUAUAGCGAUCCUUUCUUGGAUUCAGAGGAGGUGGUCAAAAAUACUCAUGGAAGAAACAAACACAUACUAAUGAGCUCAGACCUCUGGGUGGAAAGAUUGGAAAGAAGCAGCAAAAUUUCCGAAGACUUCUAGAGCUCAGCUGCUUCCCCUCCUCUGGGUACCACACUGCAUCCUCCCAGCCUUGUCUGAAGACUGCAUCCCAGCCUCAUCUCAUCCCCCAUUCCUGGGUGUCCCUGAGCUUAAAGACAAGCAUCAACCAAGUUCCUUUUAACCCCUUCUAAUCACUCCAUGGAAAUGAGAACAGCAGAGAAGUUAUGAAAGUUCUGGAAUCUCACAGAGUUCUUACAUCCCAAUCGACUCUCCACUUGAAAAAGAGAAAAUUCACUCCUGCCUUGUCAACAGAACAUUGGCUUCUGGUUCUCCCAGCCUGAGAAUCCUGGAGCUACUCUUCAUCUUGACUCCGUGGCCGGGAGCCAGCACCUUCCUCUACACCUGCCCUCUCCGAUAGACUCCGUCUCUGCCAAGUGGCUCUGCAAAGAGGUUAAAUAAGCAACCACGAUCAGCUGGCUUUCCCAGAAAGGUACCGCCUGCUGUGCUCUUUGCCCCAGGAAAACCUGCUCUCUGCAAGGGCCUGAUGGUUCACUGAUGACUCAGAAGGGAGCUGAGGUGCUCUGGGAAAAGCACCAUUCAUGUCUUUCCUGGGCCAUUUACGAAACAGAGAGAGAUAACUUGGGAGAAGGAACCUGGAAAGUGGCCUGGCAUAAAGACUCGAGAAGCAGAGCAUGAGCCGUCCAGUUUUACAGAAGAGGAAACUGCCCCAGAGAAGAGACCUUCUCAAGACCGUGACCGGGAAACAGUGGAUUGGGUUUCUAGCUCCAGGGUCAGGAGGGAGAAGGAGAGGGGUGAGCGGAGUGUGGGCAAUCAGGACCCGGGAAGCAGGCAACCCAGGCCAGGCACCUGAGGCAAGAAUGCGGACGUCUCAGAAGGAACUGGAAACAAGAGCACACCUACACCCACCUCCUAAACCAGACCAUUUUUAUAAUUCUUGUGUUUUCUGUAUUAAUUUUCUCCCAUGGUAGGAAAUAGUAAAUACCAAAGCUCCAAUUGACCUCC